rnacentral:rRNA from 1 species
UGGUCAAGCGCAGUAAGGGCGCACGGGGGAUGCCUAGGCGCGGACAGGCGAAGAAGGACGUGGCAAGCUGCGAUAAGCCGUGGGGAGGAGCACGCAUCCUGUGAUCCACGGAUG